AUGAUAAAAACGUUGAUCAGCCA
rnacentral:siRNA from 1 species